rnacentral:sRNA from 1 species
GAUCCUGGGAAUAAAACACACACACGUGCUGUAACGUGUUGCCGGGGUGCCCCAAUGGCUUUUUCACAGGCUAAACGGGUCGGCAAUAUGGGUACGUGGAGGCCUAAC